UACAGAGGGGGCAAGCGUUGUUCGGAAUUACUGGGCGUAAAGGGCGCGUAGGCGCCUUCUAAGUCGAACGUGAAAUCCCCGGGCUCAACCCGGGAACUGCGUCCGAUACUGGAAGGCUUGAAUCCGGGAGAGGGAUGUGGAAUUCCAGGUGUAGCGGUGAAAUGCGUAGAUAUCUGGAGGAACACCGGUGGCGAAGGCGGGUCUCUGG
rnacentral:rRNA from 1 species